ensembl:snoRNA
AUCCUUUUGUAGUUCGUAAGCAUGAUAAUUGGGUGUUCAUGCCAAUUUGUGACACAUGCCUCUCUCAAACCUUGUUACGACCUCGGCACAUCACCCGUCUGACG